rnacentral:rRNA from 1 species
AAUGAACGCUGGCGGCGUGCUUAACACAUGCAAGUCGCACGAGAACGCUUCAGCUUGCUGAAGCUAGUAAAGUGGCGCACGGGUGAGUAACGCGUGGGUAAUCUACCUCCAAAUUGGGGAUAACAUUGCGAAAGCGAUGCUAAUACCGAAUAAUAUCUCAAAUACUUCGGUUUUUGAGAUCAAAGGUGGCCUCUCCAUGGAAGCUACUGUUAGGAGAUGAGCCCGCGUACCAUUAGCUUGUUGGUAGGGUAAUGGCCUACCAAGGCAACGAUGGUUAGCUGGUCCGAGAGGAUGAUCAGCCACACUGGAACUGACACACGGUCCAGGCUCCUACGGGAGGCAGCAGUGAGGAAUUUUGCGCAAUGGGGGAAACCCUGACGCAGCAACGCCGCGUGAGUGAUGAAGGCCUUCGGGUCGUAAAGCUCUGUCAAGUGAGAAGAACCUGCCCUGUGCUAAUAUCACCGGGCACUGACGGUACCACUGAAGGAAGCACCGGCUAACUCCGUGCCAGCAGCCGCGGUAACACGGGGGGUGCAAGCGUUAUUCGGAAUCACUGGGCGUAAAGAGCGCGUAGGCGGUCUCUUAAGUCAGAUGUGAAAGCCCGGGGCUCAACCCCGGAAGUGCAUUUGAAACGAAGGGACUUGAGUAUGGGAGAGGGAAGUGGAAUUCCUGGUGUAGCGGUGAAAUGCGUAGAUAUCAGGAGGAACACCGGUGGCGAUGGCGACUUCCUGGACCAAUACUGACGCUGAGGCGCGAAGGCGUGGGGAGCAAACAGGAUUAGAUACCCUGGUAGUCCACGCAGUAAACGUUGAACACUAGGUGUAGCGGGUAUUGACCCCUGCUGUGCCGCAGCUAACGCAUUAAGUGUUCCGCCUGAGGAGUACGGCCGCAAGGCUAAAACUCAAAGGAAUUGACGG